UCAUAUGGCUCCGUGGUCUAGAGGUAACGUACUUGCCUCGGGGUCCCGGGUUCGAUUCCCGGUAGAGGAA